UGCCCUCCUGGGACCCGGUCCCGGCAGGCGGCCGCCGGCGUUUCGCUGCCGGUCCGGCGUUAAGUCCCGCCCGGGGGAGCACGAGCUGCAGAGACGGCAGGUGACAAAGUUGCUCGCGCUCGGAUUCACUGAGAACUUUGAGAUGGGUUAUAAACGGGUUGCUACUCCCUAAAUUCCUCCUCCCACCACCCUACUUUCAAUCUUUGUCAUCUCAGGUCCAGAAAUCGGCUGUUCCCCAACUUGAAAUCAUCGCCUGGUCUGCCAUCUUCCCCGAUGAGUAAGCUCUCUCCCUCCUGCGAGUAAUACUGGCUGUAAAUCAAUGCAAGGAAGGUUUAAUUAUAGAGGUGCUGAGCCUACAGAGAUGCUCUUACAUUUUAAACCACUAGUUCCAGGAGUUUGUGACUGCUGCAGGAACGACAUUUAAAGCCUGAAUUCUGUAAUGGAAAUUAUCUCAGUUUGAUACCUGUUCUCGUCAGAAAAUCUGGAGGAGGAAACAACAGCAAGGUAUUACUUUUCCAGCUGGAUAGCAGAAAAGCAAGAGAGGAGAGAUUAAGCACAGUCAGCGCUCUUCCCGCUUUCUCCUUUCUGCUGCUGUACCUACAGCAGCAGAUCAAGGGAAGCAUAAUUCCAGAGACAGGCUCUGUGGAGCUGCUUCUUUCUGUAGCGAAAAGAACAGCACUACUUUGAUUCAACUGUGUUUCCCAGGUCGUUUGUAAACAAUACAAUUACACAGCAUCUUCUGAUUGGAAGAAUCACAAGGUGAGAUUCUUGCCCAUUCUGAACAUUUCUCCAAUUUAUUUUCCACCUUCUCCAUUAAGUUAUUCAUCUGUUCACAUCAAGUAGAGGAAUAUGAGUGACAUCCACUGUAUUACAUUAACGUUACACUUGAUCAAACAUAAUGGCUUCAGUUUGCAGGGGUUUAGAAGCACUUCAUUCCCAUAAAACUUGCAUAGCAUUAAACCCUCUUAGUUUUAAUCUAACUUCUACGAAUGGGAAAGCCUAAAGUUAAAAGCAAACCUUGUUCAAACCUAGUUUCACUCAGUUCUCAAUGGAAAAUCAGAAAAUCGUACUGGCUCAACAUUAUGAAAAAAAUCAGAGGUAAAAAGGACCAUAGUGCUUAACCAAAAUCCAAAUCAGGUGAAUUUUGCGAUUUUUCACCAACAUCAUGUUGAAUAAGAUGCUGGAAAAUUCAAAGCCAACUUUAACAGUAUUAUUUGUAAAGACAGAGCUUUUGGACAAAAUUGGAUAAGAUGCUUAUUUAGAAUUAGAAACAGAAUUCUUUGGCUACUUUUUAUUACUGAAAUAAUGUCUGAAACUUUUUACUCAUUAUCUUAAUUACAUUCCUAAUUUCUAAUGAGGGUUUGAAUUACU